rnacentral:rRNA from 1 species
UACGGGGGGAGCAAGCGUUGUUCGGAUUUACUGGGCGUAAAGGGCGCGUAGGCGGCCUCUGCAAGUCGACUGUGAAAUCUCCGGGCUUAACUCGGAACGGUCAGAUGAUACUGCUUUGCUAGAGUGCGGAAGGGGCAAUCGGAAUUCUUGGUGUAGCGGUGAAAUGCGUAGAUAUCAAGAGGAACACCUGAGGUGAAGACGGGUUGCUGGGCCGACACUGACGCUGACAGCGCGAAAGCCAGGGGAGCAAACGGG